AUUUCGAAUUUCAAAUUUCAGAAUUUAAUAACUACGAAAUUAUUAACUAGAAAUUAUCAAAAUAAGAAAAAUUAAUAAAAAUAAAAAUAAAAACUUACUACCGAAGUGCGUUCACUCCGGGCAUCCAAAACUCGAUUUAUCUUCGUGAUCGUUCUUGCUUCUCGAUUUGCCUUUCCGGCAACGGCGCCAAAAUUUUGUUGUCCGAUUUCUGUUUACCUAAAAAUAUGCUAAACAGAUCGUUGUUAUAACCGACAAACAAAGUUUAAAUUAAUUUUACUCUUACCUGUUCUACUUGAAGAAUAGUAGUUGUAAGAGGUUGAUCCACAGGAAAGCGAUUGGAGUUGCUUAAAAAUAAAAACGUUCACUUGGAUUCAAAAGCGAUUUUUGAAUAACAAAAGAAAAAUAUUUUGUCGGGGAUGUUGAGAUGAUUUUCUAAUUGAAACUAACUAAAAGAAAGGUACUCAGAUUCGAAAAGCAUUUAUUUAAUUAAUCAAAGAAGAGUUUUGGCAUAAAUUAAAAUGGAUGAAAACAAGAAUAUUGAAGCGAACACAAAUUGCAUGAAGAUUUAAUUGUAUUGUAUAAAAAGAAAAAUUACAGAAGUUGAAGAACGGAACUUAAAAAUACAAAAAUAAAAAAUAAUAGAAAUUAAAGUUUUAGCAUAAAUUGGAUGAAAACAGUGCUAGGAAAAUUGCAGACUGGAAUAUAGAUUGCAUAAAAUAAAUUUAUGGAUUGCAUAAAAGGACAAGUGCUUACAAGAGUAAGAAAGAAAA
rnacentral:lncRNA from 1 species